UCCUAACUUAAGUUAUGAAUUUUUCUUUACAAGCUGCUCAAUAAGGUCUUAAUCAGUCCAGUAUUGGUACUUGUUUAUAGUAUCACAAAACUUAUCAGAUUCAUGCAUUUCCAUACAAAUUCAAGCUUAAGUGUCUUCUACAAAGUUUUAGAUAUACUUCUUAGAAUUCAUUUGGCACUGGUUUUAACAAAUAUCACUGAGUACAUAAUUAGUUAUAGUAUAAUCAAUACACUCUGUUCCGGAUGCACUAUCACUG
rnacentral:lncRNA from 1 species